GAAACGAUUACCCUGAACGGUGGAUCACUUGGCUCGCGGGUCGAUGAGGAACGCAGUUAACUGCGCGUCAUAGUGUGAACUGCAGGACACAUUUGAAACGACAUUUUGAA
rnacentral:rRNA from 1 species